GACGAACGCUGACGGUGUGCUUUAGACAUGCAAGUCGAACGAGAAAGCCCUCGGGUUAGUAAGUAGGCGAACGGGUGAGUAACACGUGGGCAAUCUGCCCCUCGCAGGGGGACGAACCGGAGGAAACUACCGGCUAAUACCCCGUAACGUUCAAAGGGAGGCAUCUCUCUUCGAAGAAAGGUAGCUUCGGCCAUCCGGCGAGGGAUGAGCCCGCGGUGCAUUAGCUAGUUGGUGGGGUAACGGCCUACCAAGGCGACGAUGCAUAGCUGGUCUGAGAGGAUGAUCAGCCACACUGGGA
rnacentral:rRNA from 1 species